rnacentral:lncRNA from 1 species
GGAUUCUGGGAUCCCCACAGAUGCCCUGGGGUGUCUGAAUCACGUCAAAUGUUGUCUGUGGAGACAUUUACAUAGGAGUGAUUUUUUUAAUUGAACAACACAUUUAAUGUGUGAUUGAAAAGGGCAGAGAACUUCACGAUGACACUGAGGAAACGACUGUCAGAAACGAGAUGAGCUAAUAAGAGGCGCGAUCUGUUCUGG